UACGAAGGGGGCGAGCGUUGUUCGGAUUUACUGGGCGUAAAGGGUGCGUAGGCGGGUCUUUAAGUCAGGGGUGAAAUCCUGGAGCUCAACUCCAGAACUGCCUUUGAUACUGAGGAUCUUGAGUUCGGGAGAGGUGAGUGGAACUGCGAGUGUAGAGGUGAAAUUCGUAGAUAUUCGCAAGAACACCAGUGGCGAAGGCGGCUCACUGGCCCGAUACUGACGCUGAGGCGCGAAAGCCAGGGGGAGCGAACG
rnacentral:rRNA from 1 species